rnacentral:rRNA from 1 species
UACGGAGGGUGCAAGCGUUAUCCGGAUUCACUGGGCGUAAAGGGUGCGUAGGCGGGUUUUUAAGUCAGGGGUGAAAUCCUGGAGCUCAACUCCAGAACUGCCCUUGAUACUGAAGAUCUUGAGUCCGGGAGAGGUGAGUGGAACUGCGAGUGUAGAGGUGAAAUUCGUAGAUAUUCGCAAGAACACCAGUGGCGAAGGCGGCUCACUGGCCCGGUACUGACGCUGAGGCACGAAAGCGUGGGGAGCAAACAGG